rnacentral:rRNA from 1 species
GACGAAGGGGGCUAGCGUUGUUCGGAAUUACUGGGCGUAAAGGGCGCGUAGGCGGUCUUGUCAGUCAGGCGUGAAAGCCCUGGGCUCAACCUGGGAGGUGCGCUUGAUACUGCAAGGCUUGAGUGCAGGAGAGGAUGGUGGAAUUCCCAGUGUAGAGGUGAAAUUCGUAGAUAUUGGGAAGAACACCGGUGGCGAAGGCGGCCAUCUGGACUGCAACUGACGCUGAGGCGCGAAAGCGUGGGGAGCAAAC